rnacentral:lncRNA from 1 species
CCCCGAUGGAGAGUGUGCAAUGGCUGCGAGGCCAUGCUGGAUCGCGGCUGGCUUACGCAGCAGGACCGGUACGGCUGAUUUGAAAGAAGGUCGUCUAGCCAAAGAUGAGCGACUGCACGCUCAAUGGCAUCAUGUCGAGGUGAGCUUCUUCUCUCGUUCCAAUAAGUGCACUUGUUGGUCUUUUUUCUUCUUCUUUCAGAUCUAUGAGCAAUAUAAUGAUUUGCUUUUUUAGAAUUCUUAUCCUUUAAAAGAUGGAAUGCUUUGGGAUUUUUGUCAGAUGAUCUGAGGAUCUGUUUUAGUUUUAAUACGCAUACUAUUUGCAUGAUCAAAUCUCAAAAGAUUGAUAGUAUUGUGAAAUAAUUUUCUGAAGAACACGUAUAUACUAACAUCUGGCUUUGCUUCUGCCAACGACACAGUUGUACUCCCAAAUUUGAACUAAAACCACGACGAGUAAUUUGGAACGGAGGGAGUACUUUACAACACCCAAUCCUGGUCUUUAUGCCAUCGGCUUCAAGUGGUACUGUGCUGGAUGCAAAGGAUGGCUCAUUGUCAGUAACUAUGGCACGAAAUUGAAGGUUUAACCAUCAUACGUAUUGUUAUGGCUGUUGCAUUUCAAUUCUUUUGCAGAUAGAUCAGGUUGCUGAAAAGAUUACCUACUGCAGAUUUGAACAGCCAUGCUCAAGCCUUACAAUAGCGAGCUCUUCCCACUUGCCAACGGGGGUGCAAGGCCUGGGUCUGCAUACUGUGCCUCUCGGUCACGGCUGCCAGCUAGGAGGGCAACCUGCAUUACGCUGGCCAGGUCAGCGCGCUCCAUGGCUGAGAUGGCGUCCUCGCCUCCUGCCGCUCAGGAGUCUGCCUAGGGUCCUGCCGCAGACCUCGCCGACAUCGUAAGUAUCGUCUCUCCCUUAAUUAGUUAUUGAAUUGAAUAGAUGAUUGGUUGAGUAUGAUCGAUCACCGUGUAUGAUGUUAAUUGGUUUUGAUCUUUGUUGCAGGGGUUCAAGAACAUGAAGAAACUCAAAGUGGGCUAGGUCGACCUCAUCGUGGCUCGACCACCAAGACCGGGCAUGGCAGCUGGGAGAACGAUGCUGGCCAAGCAGACUGCAAGUCGGCAACAUGAUAUUGAAUUUAUUCCUCUUGAUAUACUAAAGCCUGGUAUGUGUUGUUUCAGAUUUUUUACAAGUGCGUCCUGAUUUUACCCUUCCCAAUCUACAGAAAUCUUCACAGGUGUUUCUGAAUGAAGAAGACAUCGCGGCCAGUAAUGUUAAGGUUGACUUCAUGCGUGGGAAAUGAAAAGCCGCUUGAAAGCCAUGGUGCCGUUAGAGUGUAUGCCAGAAAACGAGAUCUUUGAAUGAAGAAAUUAAACAUGGUGGUGUGCUCAAAGCCUCAAAGACUCCAAGUAUCCGCAGUUCAGAAUAUACGGCGAGGAGGUGCCGGUGCACGAUACACCCAGGAAGAAGCGCAUCAAAUUCUACAUCAGGUUAGAGUCAACCACAGUAGAUUACCCUGUCCGUAUAUUCUUUUGUAGUUUGGGUAAAUAUGGUGUGUGAGGCAACCAAAUAUCCUGUCCAUAUUUGGUGACCAUUUGACACACAUAGAAAAUUUUCUCUAGGAAUAUAAUUAGGCCAUUAUGGUUAGGAUCUGAUUGGGUUCAUUCCUUGUAAUCUCCUGUAAUUGCCUAUAAAAGAGAUAACACAGAAGCCACCUCAAGCGUGCCAACUUUCCCCAACUUACAUGGUAGGAAUGUAAUUAGGCCAUUAUGGUUAGGAUCUGAUUGGGUUCCUUCCUUGCAUUCUCAUGCGUGUGUAUAUUACUCCCUCCUUUCACUAUUGUAAGACCUUUUAGACAUUUAAGACAACACCCAAAGCAGUUCAAUUUCAGCUGUCUAAAACAUCUUAUAGAAGUGAA